AACCUUAUGGACCUGCGGGCGUAUACCUGCGGAAGGAUCAUUACUGAGUGAGGGCCUUCGGGCUCGACCUCCAACCCUUUGUGAACACAACUUGUUGCUUCGGGGGCGACCCUGCCGUUUCGACGGCGAGCGCCCCCGGAGGCCUUCAAACACUGCAUCUUUGCGUCGGAGUUUAAGUAAAUUAAACAAAACUUUCAGCAAUGGAUCU
rnacentral:misc_RNA from 1 species